rnacentral:lncRNA from 1 species
UCUAAGAGGGCCCUAUUAGAAAGAUGGGAACCAUGGGGGAGAGAACACGUAUCUUAGUAACAUGUGGGAAUUAGACUAAGAUGACUAGACAAGAUAGAGACAAUGAUAGCAUAACAAAGAGACAAAACAACACAUAAGAGAGAAAAAGUAAGAAACCAGGAAGAGAGAGAACGCACCAUUCAUUCACCACGAACCUCAGGGAUGACCCAUGGAAAGAUAGAGAUCUAGAGAGAUAGGGAGAAGAACCCUAAGAAAGUUAACCAAGAUUAACCACUUCAACUUUCCAACCCUUGGAGCUUUUCUUCCCUAAGAUCCUUGUUGCUAUUUCAGGUGUUGUCAUGCUCUCAUUCAUGCUCAUGGGAUGAACUACUUCCUAGUCAAGCAAUCAACCAGCAAGUCCAACUGAUUGAUGGCUACUAUUUGUGGGCAUACACCCUCUUGGUAAUUGUUCCUUUUCUUCUUAAUUAUUGUCUUUCAAUAUUGUUAUAUAUAUAUAUAUAUAUGAUGAGUGGAUAAUAUACUCAUGAAUUGAGUAUUUUUAGGCUUAAUAUAUUGUUUGUUUUUGAGUAUUUUAGGAUAUUUUUUACUUGUUUAGUUGUUAUUUUGCAGGUUAGGGCAAAGCAAAGGCAAAACAUGAAUGUUUGGGCUUAAAAGGAAAUUUUUGGAAAUUUCUAGCACUACAGCCCCGGGGCGCUGUUUAUAUAAUAAAUCCUAGUGCCAAGGAGCUGGGAGGCAGAGUUUGUUGGUCGAGAAUUGCAAGGCUGGGAAUCAAAAGGCAAAAGUCUAAUCUAAAUAGGAUUAUAUGUGAAGCUGACGUGGAGGAGACUAAUAACUAUAAAAGGGAGAAUACUAUUCAUCUACAUGGAGACGGAGAUUGACUUGGAUAACUGGAGAUAGAGAUUGAAGGUUUGUAGAGCGUUACAAGGAAUUUAGGCUGAAGACUUGAAGAAUGAAGAACAUUUACUGAGUUUUUCUUUUCUUCCUUAUUCAGAUUUGUAAUUUAUUUGUGAUGGCUUGUUUGUGAUUUUUGGUUUUAAUUUUUAGCAUGAACUAAAUUUAUAAUUAAGACUGUAAUUGAACCUUUUAUGCUUAUGAAUUACUUAUUUAUUGAAGUCUAAU